GGUUUCUACUGGAUGGCCUCGAGUGUCCAAGUUCCUGCUCUUUAAGUGCUGUCUUCACCCUCAAGAAGUCUGCACGGGAGAAGAUGGCAUUGAAAUAAUUUUCCAGGAAGAAGCCCAGUGCUGGAAAAGCUGGGUUGGCAGAGGGUGUAUAGAAGGGACUGUUGUGUGGUCAGAUGGCAGACACGGCCACUCUCCAAGAAGCUUUCCAAGGAAUUGCUGGGAAGAAGAGGCUUGAAUGUGAGUAUCCACCUCUUCGGCUGAAGUUGCGAGUUCUCGGAGCUCCCGAGGUCUAGGUCUGAGCCCCCGCGUGAUAUAACCCAGGUGGAUACAGGCUCCUUGCUGAGCCCAGCACCACUGACCGCCUCCACCCACACCCAAGAAGGAGAGCAGUGGGGGGGCAUGUGCCCAGGCCCCCUCCGAGCUGUCCAGCUGUCAGGCUCAGGCACAGCUGGAGUGUGGCCUGCUUCUUGGUCCCUCCAGCCCUCCGUCCCUCGACGCGUUCCUUUCCCUCGAUAGGGAGAUGGGGUGGACGUGGCUUUGGCUCUCCCUAGCCUUCCCCACCUCAGUGUGGUCUACAGCAUGAAGCACCAGCCUGGGGUUUUGGUGAGGUGGGUUCCUGCCCCACCUUUGUCACCCACACCUGCAGGCUGACCUUGGGUGAGUGUGUUUCCCUGCUUUGUGCCUCAGUUUCCCCAGCUGUAAAUGGGGAGGAGGGUCUUGUCCUAUAUGCCCAGCUUCUGACAGCCCCUCGUGAAGGUCUUGUAGUAGCUUCUGUGUCUCUGUGUGGUCACUAGUGAUCUAGAAAUGGACUGACCCCUGGGUUUUUCCAUCCCUCUCUCAUUCUCCUCCUUUCUGCACUCUGCUGCUCAGACCCUUGUCUGCCCUCCCAUCUUCCUCCUGUCUGCUUCCAGUGCAGGCAGCUCUUUCCCUAUAAGCGGCUCUGCUGAGAAGGCGUUGAAGUCCUUGUAGAUCCACCUGCUCCUUUCCUGGCCCUGGGCAUCCAGUUGAGGGUCCUUCCAAUAAAAUGCAGCUCACCAGGGGCACAGCCACUUC